UAUAUCAUAUGUAAUAAGAAUGAUACAACAAGACAAAAUGCCAUUGCCUCAGGAAUUAAUACCUCAUUUUUAUGGAAAAGGAAAAUUGCGAUAGUUCGAUGUAUGGCCUGAGUUGAAUGCAGUAUUCGUUAUGUAUUACAUGUUUCAUUGUGAUUUUGAAGUGACAAAACCAACCUCUACUCAGGAUAAACCUGUUGAAGAAAU